rnacentral:lncRNA from 10 species
GCUCAGCCUUCCCUCAUCAGUGCUGUGAGGAGUAAAUGAGGAGACUUGUGCGAAGAGAUCCACACAGAGCUGAGCACGCGGUGAGCACCCAGCAACACCAACAUAGAGGGGAGAGCCUUCUCUCACACGCCUCGAGCUUCCACAGAAGAAGGAACUUCUGCUCUACUCACCGAGAUGGACAAGGAUAGGAGAAACACCCUCCCAGUUUCUUCCCCACAUACUACCCUCUCUCACAGAAGAAGCCAAGCAGAGGGGUGGGCCUACAACACACCCUGGGCCACGGCGCACCUGAAGGAGGGCCGCUGAUCCAGAAGACAGUGCCAGCUCUUUCUCUCGGACCCUCCCCGCCCCUGUGGCUGGGGUUGGAGCCUGGCUGGAGUGUACCCUACAGCUGCCUGUUUAAGGGCCUGCACACUCAGGGUCUUCUUUGCAAACCCAGCCCUGCACACAAGUAAGAUUGGGAUCUGGAUUUGGGGAGGCUGGAGGGGCCCCCACUUUGGCCUCAAGUGCGGGUUGUUCCUCUAAUCCAGCCCUAACAGGAAGCCUAUGCCUCAGGCAUUCCUGGGCCCUGUCACCACUACUAGAGCGAGGCUUUGAUCUCCCGUAGCUGGCCACAGUGUUUACUCUCUACUGGAAAGAACAUGGAGGAGAAAAGGGAAGCCUGGAGGGAGCCCAGAACAGGACUGCCUGAAUCCAGGAGCCACCACUGCAGAAAGGAAUGAUUUUUGGAGUACACCCAUGCUGGAUCUCAAGCCUAAGAGGAGGGAGAAAGUGGCUCCAACACCCUGGAAAUGAACAAUUACUCCCUCUCCGUGCUGUAAUAACCACAGCAGAUUUCAUGACUGUUGCCAAAUCAGGUGUUCUGCUGGCCAGAUUCGAGGCUAGGACCACAGUUCCACAGUUUCAUCAGAGACCAGGAGAGCAGCUGGGUGCUCCAGGGUCGUGUUGUCAUUACUGAAGACCAGCAGGAGUCCGCGGGCCUGAAGAGGGGCUCAGUAGUCCUAGAUGGACUUCACCAAGGCUGCUACCCUCUCCCCAACCCACGCUACAGCCGCUGCACUGCAGGCAGUCCUGCAGGAAGACCCCACUGCCACCAGAGGUCGCCGCAGGACUGCAUGAACCAUCAAGAUCCACUCAAACCUCCUCCCAAAUGCAGUCUGGGGCAAGGCAGUACCAAGGCAGGCAAUUGGACACAGCCCCUCUGUUUUCCAAAUUGCAUCAAGACCUAUAGCCACAAGAGCGGUCCCGGAUCAGCAAGUUUUUAUGGGAAGAGAAGAGAGAGAGUGCAUCACAGGGAGUCAGACAUGUGUGGAUUGGGUCACAAUGUAAAAUGAGUUUCUUACAGUAAUUCAAGAUCAGAAAAUGUUUGAAAUACAGUUGACCCCGAAACAACGUGGGGUUGAACAGCCAUGGGUCCACUUAUACGUGGAUUUUCUUCCGACUCUGCCACCCGUGAGACAGCAAGAGCAACCCCUCCUCUUCCUCCUCCUCUUCAGCCUACUCAACACAAAGAUAACAAGGAUGAAGUCCUUUAUGAUGAUCCACUUCCCCUUAAUGAAUAGUAAACAUAUUUGCUCUUCCUUGUGAUUUUCUUAAUAACAUGUUCUUUUCUCUAGCUUACUUUAUUGUAAUAAUACAGCUUAUAAUUCAUAUAACAUACAAAAUGUGUGUUAAUAGUCCAUAUUGUCGGUAAGACUUCUGGUCAACAGUAGGCUAUGAGUAGUUAAGUUUUGGGGCAGUCAAAAGUUACACGCAAAUUUUCAACUGCAUGGGGGGUUUGCGCCCCUGACCCCUGCAUUGUUCAAGGGCCAGCUAUGCACUGCUCUCAGUGAAUGUGUCUACUCAGAAGUGGAGCUUCCAGGAAAGAGUGAACUGAAGAGAAGGGGAAGACAAAGACAAGCCUGCUGGGGGAAAAUAACAAUAGCUUCCCAUGACUGUGUACCAGAUACUAAGAAAAGCACUUUACAUACAACCACUUGGCCCCCGAGCAUCUUCAGAGGCUAUCAUUUUCCCUACAGAGGCUUGCCCUCAGCUCCACGGAAGAAAGUGGUGAAUACAAACCCAGGUUGUCUGUCUGCCCUAAUCUUGGGCCCUCACCGCUACUUCCCACAGCCUUGCCCAGGCCACAGAAGAGGCAGGGUCCAAGCAGAAAUGGGAGGUGAGCAUUAAGACAGCACUUGUGGGACCCAGGAAAAGAAUAAAGGUGCAGAGCUGGAAGGAAAGGUCUACAAAAUGCCACAAAAACACAGCGCUCAUCUCACAACUCAGUAACAUCUCCAGAGAAGGCAGAACCCCAGGGCCAGGGAAAGGGAAGGCUGCGAAGGGGGCUCUCCCUCCUGGCUUUUUUACUACAGGAACAAAGGUGUGUGGGAGUGGGUGGGGCGUAGCACCUAGAAGGAGCAAGAUACCUUUGCUUUCUCUUGGAAGCCAGCAUUCCGAGGGUUUUUCCAUUCAUCCUCCCCAAGUCCCUGUCCCCUCCCUCCUCUGAGCUCCCACCACCCCCAUGCUUGGCUCCAUCACAUCACCUGGUCCUGGCUGAUUUCCCAGGUGAGGUGGAAGGCCCUGGCACAGAGUCAACCUCAGCAAGUACUGUACUAAAUGAAUGAGUGGGCAAAUGAAUGAAUGAACAUUUGACUGAAUGAGCAAAAGGAUAUACGUUUAAAUUGGAGCAUAAAAGGCAGAUUGGCAACCAGGACAAAUACCCUUCUGUCUGAGAUUUCUAUGCAAGAUAAAAACCGUCCUUUCCUUAGAGAUUUUAAGGCCAGAAGUUUAAACUAAAUAUUAUAGUUUCCCAGGUCAUCAAUACAUUUUUUUACCAUAUUUUCAUGCC